rnacentral:rRNA from 1 species
GAUGAACGCUGGCGGCGUGCCUAAUACAUGCAAGUCGAGCGAACAGACGAGGAGCUUGCUCCUCUGACGUUAGCGGCGGACGGGUGAGUAACACGUGGAUCACCUACCUAUAAGACUGGGAUAACUUCGGGAAACCGGAGCUAAUACCGGAUAAUAUAUUCAACCGCAUGGUUCAAUAGUGAUAGCCGGUUUUGAUGUCAAUUCUAGAUGGAUCCGCGCCGCAUUAGCUAGUUGGUAAGGUAACGGCUUACCAAGGCAACGAUGCGUAGCCGAGCUGAGAGGAGGAUCUGCCACACUAGAACUGUGCCACGGUCCAGGCUACUACGGGAGGCAGCAGUAGGGAAUCUUCCGCAAUGGGCGAAAGCCUGACGGAGCAACGCCGCGUGAGUGAUGAAGGGCUGCGGAUCGGAAAUCUCUGUUAUUAGUGAAGAACAAAUGUGUAAGUAACUAGGCACGUCUUGACGGUACCGAAUCAGAAAGCCACGGCUAACUACGUG